UAUGUACUCCCUCCGUUCCGAAUUACUUGUCUUAGAUUUGUCUACAUAUGGAGGUAUCUAGCACUAAAAUGAGUCUAGAUACAUCCGUAUCUAAACAAAUCCAAGACAAGUAAUUCGGAACGGAGGGAGUAUGUG
rfam:Triticum aestivum genome assembly, contig: Triticum_aestivum_CS42_TGACv1_scaffold_556069_7AL